rnacentral:tRNA from 2 species
AGGGGUGUAGCUCAGUUGGUAGAGCACCGGUCUCCAAAACCGGUUGUCGUAGGUUCGAGCCCUACCGCCCCUGCCA